rnacentral:lncRNA from 1 species
UGGGGAAGGGCCUGGGUGAGGUUUUCUCCUGUGUUGCGGUCGGCUCUUUUGUCUUCCAGGAUGGGACUGUGGAGGUCUCCGUGGGGUAGGAGCUGGGAUCAGGGCACUGCCAGAUGUGGACCGAGCGCCUUCUCUUGGAUAGAAACUGAGGAUCCGGAGGUCAACGUGCGAUGUGGUCCUGCCCUCUCAGAUCUUCGUGCUGCGCUGCCCCGGCUGCAUCUCUAGGACUCCUGGCCCGCUCUCCUCCUGGACUCUGGUGGUGGUGACACAGGAAGCAGUCUUCGCUGGUUUUCUGGAACCCUGGACAGCUCCCCGAAGAUCUCAUCCUUCCUAACUCCUGGGCCUCCCCUGGAUAAAGGCCCCUCCUGGUUGGUGCUCGGCCGAGGACAGUGGCGGAGCGCGAGGGUGGCUGGCAGCCCACCAUCCAUC